AGGUUCAUGUACAUGUGAUCCUAGUUGGACUGGAGAACUGUGUCAAAAACCUUGUCCUAGAAACUGCUAUGGAUCCGAUUGUAGGUCAUAUUGUUACUGCUAUGGACGUGGUCGCUGUCACCCAGUGUAUGGUAACUGUACCUGUGAUACUGGAUACACUGGAGCACACUGAUGGACUAAGUGUAAUAAAGGUUAUUAUGGAGUCAACUGUGCUCAGAAGUGUAUGUUUCCUGAUUGUUCUGGUAAUGGACAUUGUUCUAUAGUCAAUGGAUCAUGUUUAUGUAACAAGGGCUGGACUGGUAUAUCUUGUAAUAUAACAUUAAUAGAAAAUAAUCAAAUAAAUACAUCCUCUACCUUAUUUAUCACAUCAUCAUCAUUAUCAUCAUCAACUGAUACUCCUGAUGUUAGUACUGCAGUGCCAGUGAUGAACUCAAUCUCCUCAUUACUAUCUCCUACUAAUGAUGUAUCAGUAGAGGAUAUUACUGUAUUGAAUAAUGAUAAUAAAUCUAUUGAUAGUUGUAAUGGAACUAAUAAUAGUAGUGGAUCUCCUCCGGUUAAUUACAGUGCUAACGAUAAUGAUAAUCAAUUAAUUAUUAUUAUUAUAUUAAUUGGUUUAAGUACUGUCACUAUACAUGUUA